ACCUGGGUGGCUCAGUUGGUUAAGCGUCCAACUUUGGCUUAGGUCAUGAUCUCAUGGUUCAUGGGUUCGAGCCCCAUGUCAGGUU
rnacentral:tRNA from 1 species